AACCAUAGAAACCUGCGGAGUACCUGCGGCGGGAUCAUUACAGAGUUGCAAAACUCCCACAAACCAUCGCGAAUCUUACCCGUACGGUUGCCUCGGCGCUGGCGGUCCGGAAGGCCCUCGGGCCCCCGGACCCUCGGGUCCCCCGCUCGCGGGGGGCUGCCCGCCGGAGUGCCGAAACCAAACUCUUGAUAUUUUAUGUCUCUCUGAGUAAACUUUUAAAUAAGUCAAAACUUUUAGCAA
rnacentral:misc_RNA from 1 species